rnacentral:lncRNA from 1 species
UACCUCCUCAGUUAGAUAACAUGCAUAAUGUCUUUCACGUGUCUCAGCUAAGGAAAUAUAUCCCAAGCCCUAGUCGCGUAUUGGAUAAUUUGUCUUUUGAAGCAAAACCCGUUAGGAUUGAAGAUCAUUAUAAUAAACAAUUCAGAGGCAAGACCAUCAAUAUGGUGAAGGUGGUGUGUGAUGAUAGAUUUGGUGAUUUAACUUGGGAAUUUGAAAAAAAAUCCAUGAGAAAAACUUAUCCUAUCUCUUUUUUGGUAAGUCAAUUUUCGGGGACGAAAAUUUUCUUGUUUGGAAGAAUGUAAGGAUUUAGAAAAUAACUUUAGAGUAGAAGUGAUAUAUUUUAAAUGACACCUGAAUAUUUUAUUAUUAAAAUAAAAAGAGUUAUAAAAAGAAAAUUUAGUUAUUGAGGUUUCAUUUUAAAAGAACCACCAUCUCUCUAAAACUUCUCUUUUUCCUUUUCUCUCCCUUCUUUAUAAGAUUUUGAACUUCUCGCUCAUCAAUUUGAUGAUCGAAGUCCGCCAUUAGACUCCUGAUAGUGAAGACUACAAGACUGCGUGAUCAGAAUUUGUGAUAAAGUAAGUUCAUUUUUACUCUUCUCUUUGAGUCAAAUUUUGAACUUGUUAGGUUUGUCUCAAUCUAGGUUUUUCAUGUGACCCUUUUAGCUUUAGGAUUAUCCGGAUGUAGGGAUGGCGUGGUCACCAAUUCCAAAUUUUGUUGGCAGGAUUGAUUGUGUAUUAGUAAUGCAGGGUAUUGUUUGAAAUAAAAUGUGAAUAUGUUGAUUUUGAUAUGGAUGAUUUAUGGUAGAUGUUUUGGUUUGAAUAUGAAAAUUUGGUUGAUUUGUAUAGUUGAUAUAGUGUAAGUUACUCUUGAAGUGAAUAAUGUAGAAACUAGUGGAAGUAAAUAAGAGAAGACAAUAGGUUGUAGCAACUGAAUGAACGUAAUUGCACAAAAUUGUAAUACUGAUCGUAUUCAUUUUGAUUUACUUCAAUAAUAUAUAUAAUAAAAUUACAAUUACUGAAAGCUAUAAAAUAGGAAUACUAACAAGCCUGUAAACUGACCAUCAAUGCAAUAUAACGGUAAAAUAGUUUAAAGAUAAUAAAUAAUAAAAUCAGAAUUAAUAAUAAUAAAAUCUGAAUUAGUAAUCAACAUCCUCCCUUAAUUCUGAUUUGGAACAACCUUCCCAAUUUUAGUCAUGAUAUUGUUUUUCUCAAUCACCAUCAAUUCUUCAUUCAUAGUCUUUUGCCAUUUGGGGUGUUGAAUGGCAUCGACAAGUCUCACAGGUUCUGAUCCUGCAAAAAAAGCAAAGUGAACCAAAUCUCCAUUGUCAUCAACUACAUCAUCAAGAUUUACUUCGCAAUCUUGAAGAUGUACAGGUUGCCGCUGUUGCCUUCUUGGUCGCUCCAUCAUAGUUGCAAUUGGAGUUGCAACUUCAGGUUGAAUUACAACUUCAGGUUGAACUGCAGCUUCAAGUUGAACUGCAGGUGCUUCAAGAGUGACUCCAUCUUCCAUAUCAUCGUUCAAAACAUAAAUAUAUUGUUUUUUCGAAUCUAUUUCAGCUGCUGCAUUCCAUUGCCAUUCCUCAUCUUCGACAAAUGUAACAUCACGACUAAUAAUCACCUUCUUUGUCAUUGGAUUAUACAGUUUGUAUCCUCCAUUUUUAUAACCAAUAAAAAUGGUCUUCACUGCCUUAUCAUCCAACUUCGAUCUUGCUGUUUUAGGGACGUGGGCAUAAGUAAUGGACCCAAAUACUUUCAAGUGUUGCACAUUGGGUUUGAUUCCGCUCCAUGCCUCAAUCGGAGUUGUGUUAGGAACACUCCAAGUGGGUGAUCUGUUUAUCAAAUAUACCGCACAUGUUACGGCCUCAGCCCAAAAAUAAUUUGGCAUACCUUUCGCUUUAAGCAUGCUCCUCGCCAUGUCCAUGAUUGUUCUAUUCUUUCUCUCAGCAACUCCAUUGUGUUGAGGUGUUUAGGGGCAAGUAAUGUUAUGUUGCAACCCAAGUUCUUCACAAUACCUCUUGAAUUCAUUAGACUUGUUCUCACCUCCUCCAUCACUACGCACCAUCUUAAUUUGUCUGCCACUCUCUCUUUCAACAAAUGCUUUAAAUAUUUUAAAGUAGUGGAAUACCUCAUCCUUGCUUUUCAAUACAUAAAUCCAGGUUUUCCUUGAAAAAUCAUUAAUAAAGGUUAAAAAAUACUUAUUACCUCCAACCGAUGAUAUAUUCAUCGGGCCACAAACAUCUGUAUGAACAAGCUCCAAAGGAAAUUUUGCACGCCAAGGCUCCUUAACAAAUGGUAUCCUGUGAUUCUUUCCAAAAAUGCAAGCCUCACACAAUUGAUCAGGGUGAUGAAUAUGAGGUAAACCAUUCACUAAAUUUCUUUUGGAAAGAUUUUCCAAGCACUUGAAAUCACCCAUAUGAAUAUCUACUGGAAACAUACGGUUUUUUGAUAAAAAGGAUUUAAGAAUCAAACUACCUUUUUUUAUCAAAAAUUGAUAAUUUAUUUUCAACUAUGUUCAUCACAUAACCCUUCUCGGCCAGCUGCCCCAUACUCAACAAAUUACUUUUCAUAUCAGGUACAUAGAAAACAUCAUAGAUGUACCUGUGAUCACCAUUCUUCAAUGUGAUAAGAAUUCGCCCUUUUCUAGUCACCGGAACGAACCUACCAUCACCGAAUUUCACUUUUGUGCAAAAUGAGUCAUCCAAAUAUGCAAACAACUCCUUCUUACCACACAUGUGAUUUGUGCAACCUGUAUCCAAAUACCAAGUCUGAUUGUUUGGUGUUUCAUUUGAUGUGGCUGCCAUUAGUACUGCAUGAUCCUCUUCAUCUUGUUCGUGAUUACUGUCUUCUUGAGCACACUUGGCAGCAUGAUUAUCACCUCUUGAUUUGCACUCAUUUGCAUAAUGUCCACGUUUAUGGCAAUUAUAACACUCAACAUUUGAUUUAUUAUAAAUGCCUCCUCGUCCUCCACGACCAUGUUCCCCGUGCCAAGCGCCUCCAUGAUUCUGGCCACCACGACCUUUGCUGAAAUAGCUACCAUGUUUAUGAUAUGAGCUACCAAUUGAGACUUGUGCUUGUAAAGCCUGUUCAAUUGGUUUUUCAAUCUUAUUGUCAUUCAUCCGCUGCUCAUGCGCUCGUAGAGAACCAGACAAUAACCUUACUGUCAUUUUUGAAAUGUCAUUGGCCUCUUUAAUUGCGGUAACAACAUGUUCAAAUAUGGAAGUUAAAGAUCUCAAAAUCUUCUCCACCUUUGCCUGCUCCGAAUGUGUUUCACCAUUGACCUUCAUCUGAUUUGUCAAGGCAAUAACUUUAUUUAUAUAAACAUCAAUAGUCUCUGUGGUUUCCAUCUGCAGCAAUUCAUAUUGGCGUCUUAGGGUUUGAAGACGCACCCUCUUAAUCUUGUCAUCACCUUUAUAAUUGUUUGACAAAAUGAUCCAAGCCUCAUUGGCAGUUGUUUCUCCUUUUAUCUGCUCAAACGUCUCGUCAUUCAUCCCUUGAUGGAUGAGAUACAAAGCCUUAUUGUCCUUCUUCUUCUGAUCACGAUGCGCUACUCAUUGCGCCUCAGUUGCAUUAUCACCUAAUGUAGACACUCCACUCUCAACGACAUCCCAUAACUCAUGAUAAUCAAACAAAACUCUCAUUUGCACACACCACCGAUUGUAAUUUUUUCCAUUAAGGAUAGGGACUGAUAAUUGGGUAGAGUUCAUAAUAACAGACUAGCUCUUGAUACCAGUUGCAGAAACUAAUGGAAGUAAAUAAGAGAAGACAAAAGGUUGUAGCAACUGAUUGAACGUAAUUGCACAAAAUUGUAAUACUGAUCUUAUUCAUUUUGAUUUACUUCAAUAAUAUAUAUAAUAAAAUUAAAAUUACUGAAAGCUAUAAAAUAGGAAUACUAACAAGCCUGUAAAUUGACCAUUAAUGCAAUAUAAUGGUAAAAUAGUUUAAAGGUAAUAAAUAAUAAAAUCAGAAUUAAUAAUAAUAAAAUCUGAAUUAAUAAUCAACAAAUAAGUUAUUGAAAUUGUUUUUGUUUCACUCUAAAUGAUGAAAUUAGGGAAAAUUACGCAGAUUUUUCUGUAUAUCUCGUUUAGGCGAGAUAAUUCUCGCUUGAGCGAUAGUAUAAUGAAAAGAUGGGGUGUUAUCGGGUCCGUUUUCGCCCAAGCGAGAGGGAAUCUCACUCAGACAAGGCCUAAGAUGAAAUUUUGGAUGCUCUCAGGUUCAAUCUUGCUAAAGCAAGAGAAUUUUCACUUGGCAAACGAACAAAUUUUCCCUCAAGCUAGUAAAACAAUUAAAAGUUUUAUUUUUUAUUUUGAAAGCCUAGUUUUAUAUUGCUUAUUAUUUUUAAGAGAAAAUUCUAAAUUUUAUUUUAAAAAAUGAUUAAAGGAACUUAUUUAUGUGUUUAAGUGAAUUUUGAUAUAUAUUUGGAUUGCUUAGAAAGUUUAAAAUAUAAUGUGAUUGAAUGGUGUAUUGAUAUGUUAAAUGAAGUAUGCAAUGAGGUGAAAGUGUGAUCAAGACAUAGUAUUUUCAAGAAAGGAAAUACCGUGUUGAGAUUGUUCUUAGGAUAUAUUGAUUUGUGAGUAUCCUGUGAAUGAGACAAUCUUGACUCUACUGAUAUAAUGGAAUCUUAUAAAUGAAGUUAUUCGGUUGGUGAGAGUCGAAGGAGUUUCAUUUGACUGAGUCUGAGGUUGGAAAGAACUGAUCAUAGCAUAUCAUAUGGGUUUAUCUUAGCAUAUGAGAUGAUGAGAUACUGAGAUGAUUGCGUGCAUGACUUUGUGGAUUUCACAACGAGUAGUAUGACAAGUGCAAGUCUUUGGAUGGUAAUUUCAAUAUACGAGUCUUCCGAAAGUAGAGUCAAAUGUCUGAGUAUGUGAGUCAGUAGAAAUCUGACUUGAGUAAUGUGGAUGAUGAAUGUUGAUAGACAAUUGAUGAUUUUAUGCAAAUAACGAGAAUUUGACGGAUUAUGCUUAUUAUUAAAAGUUAAACUUAUAUUAGAAUUCUUAAAAAUAACUAGCUUACAUUGUUCUUUGUUUUAUUUAACUUGUAAUGAUCGUGUUGAUUUACAUAGGGGCAAAUGAGCUUGCAGGUGAGUAUGUGAGUCAGUAGAAAUCUGACUUGAGUAAUGUGGAUGAUGAAUGUUGAUAGACAAUUGAUGAUUUUGUGCAAAUAAUGAGAAUUUGACGGAUUAUGAUUAUUAUUAAAAGUUAAACUUAUCGUGUUGAUUUACACAGGAGCAGAUGAUGUUGCAGGUGAUAGAGCUCUUCAAUGAGUAGUCGGAGGAAGAAAUAUUUUUAUUUUGAAUUUUUUGUUUUUAAAUUUUUUUGUAUAUAUUAAAAUCUCUAUGAAGAGAGAUAUAUUUUGAGAUAAAGUAUGAAAUAACUGUAAAUGUUUAUAUGUUAAUUAGAUAUUGUAUGUAUUUGCAUUUUAUUAAAUAUGGAUAAAAAUAUGGAUAUUACAAUUGUUACUUAUGAAUAUUAGUUAUCAUCAUUAUUUAUAAUUAUUCAUAUUAUAAUAAUACUAUUAAUAUAAUUCAUAUUAUUAAUACUAUUAAUAUAAUUCAUAUUAUUAAUACUAGCGGGAACACAGGCACGUCAACACAGGCACUGACGUGCCUGUGUAUCCGCAUUUUUUAUUUCUGUUUCUUUAGUAUUUUUUUUUUGUUUUUAAAAAAUAAUUUCUCUUAAUAAUAUUAAAAUGAGAAGUUAAAGAGUAUACAGUUAAAGAGUGUGUAUCCGCAUUUUUUAUUUCUCUUUCUUUAGUAUUUUUUUAUUCUUCAAAAACAAUUUCUCUUAAUAACAUUAAAAUGAGAAGUUAAAGAGUAUGUUAAUAAAAUAGUGGAGAGGUAAUUAAAAGUUACAUAUGGUAAAGAGAAUGAAUGAAUUUUCAAAAUUUAAAAUUCAAAAUUACUAUUUGAAUUCAAAAUUGUCUCUCAAGAUAGAAAAUAAUUAAAUAGAAUUUGAGUUUCAUAUUUUUUUAUAAUUUUUAAUAUUUUAUUAAUUAUGGGUAAAAAUAUAUGUAUUUGGUAAUAGUUAAAAUUUAUUUAAAACUACAAACUCAACCGAAAAAAUAAUUAAAUAGAAUUUGAGUUUCAUUUUUUUUUAAUAAUUUUUAAGUCUUAUGAUGACUUUCAUCAUGUACCCUUGUCUCCUCUUGUUGAGUCCUUCUUAUCCCUCUAGUCACAUGUUUCAAAUUAGUGUUUUACAAAUUGAAAUGCAUAUAAAGAGAAUUAUGUUGUGAUGAAGCGCACAACUUUUUUUGAGUCGUUUCGUUCCCUCUAGUCACAAACUUCAAUUACAAUUUCAUGAAACAAAUGUCAAAUUAGGGUUUCAGAAAGAUUAAUCAAAUAAAUGAAAGUAUGAUUUUACAUGAAAGUAAAAAGGAAAGAGAAAAGAAAGUGAGAAGUAUGGUAUAAAAAAAUGUGUUAUGUGUAGUGGAGAGAGAAAGUGGGAAGUAUCUACCUAUAUAUGAGAGAGAAAGUGGGAAGUAGGUACCUAUAUAUGAGAGAGAAAGUGGGAAGUAUGAUACGUGAGUUAUGUGUAGUGGAAAAUCAUAAAAUUUGUUUUCUUAAAUCAAUUUUAAAAUUCUACAAUUUUAAUAAAAAAGAAUAUCAGUUUAGAUCAGAAAAAGUAACGAUCUCCACUCUCCUGCUAAAGUAAUCCACAAAAUAUUAUAAAUAUCUUUAAUUUUUUUAUUUAAUAGAGAAGAAGAUUAUUUAAAAUAAACAAUUUAAACUAUCUAAUUCAAAAUUAAAUAAGUUUUAAAACUUUCAAUUUAGAUAUAUAAAUAUAUACAAUUUUAUGUAAGUACUUUGAUGUUGAAUUUAAUAACCGCUUUAUGACUAUUUUUUAAUAUGACCUGUAUGUUUUAGAUAUUUUAAAUAAUUUCUUAAAUUUUCAAAAUAAAAAAGAAAACGUCUACAUGCAUUUGAGAUCUCAACUUCGAUCGAAUUAAAAUUUUAAAUAUAAAUUAAUAAGUUGAUAAGCAAAAACAAAUUAUGGAAAAUAUAAAAUAAUUUUUAAUUCUGUAAUAGUAAAUAAAAAUCCAAUGAAGUUCAAAGUAAAGUAUGACAAAAAUAUAUAUACAAAAUUAUCUCUAACUUUUCCACCAUUAAAAAAAUACAUUAUUUAUGUAUAUAUGAGAGUUAUUUCUCAUACACUAAUUACAAAUAACAUUUACAUCCAUAACUAUUCAUUUAUGCUUUAAAAUAUAUCUAUCCAUCAAACAAUUAGUCUUCCAAACAACUACUCACAUAUUCUAUAGUUUAUAUUUCAAUUCUGUUUAAAAUCAUUGAUUCUUAUUUUAAUUUAUCUCAUUUUUAAUGAUAUUUUUUUUCAUCUAACAGAAUUUAUUAAAACCUUUAAAAAAAAUCUUAAAUCAUUAAUCAAUUUCUUCGAUAAAUAUUAAUCUUUAUUUUAAUAUUUUUUUUUCAAUUAUUGUAUUUUUAAAAAAAUUACUCAUUUUUAAAUAAAAUGUAUUUUUAAUUUGUUUUAGAUAAUUAAAAAUAAUCAUAUUUAAAAUAUAGUACCUCCAAUAUUUCCAAUUGUAAUGACGUUUAAUUUCUAUACUUAAUUUUUGUUUAUAGUGAAAGUGAAUUAUUAUAACUAUCAUUUAUCUCCACUAUAUUUGUGAAAAUAGAUGAUUUAUUGGACCAAUAAUACAAUAUAUUAUAAUUAUUAAACACAAUUGUUUUUAUUAUUUCACAUAUAUUUUGUAUAUUUUAUAUUUUUACUAUAAUUUUAUUUUACUUAUAUAAGUUAGAUAUUAUUAAAAAUUUAUUAAUAUUACUAAUGUUGUCAUAAUAUUUGUAAAAGCUUAAUUUUUAUUGAAUUAUGAUAACUUUUCAAUUGUGAAAAUUAAGAUUUAUCUUAAACUGUUGUCUAAACUGAUUAAAUGCAACAGGUGCGCAUUAUAAUAUAUUCUAUAUAAUUUAAUAAAUAAGUAUAUAAAGUAUAAAAUAUUCUUAUAUUUAAAUGUUGUUUAUAUAAACUGAAGUACUUAUAAUUUAAUGGAAUGUGGGAAAUUUUAUUUGUGGGUUAAUUAGUCUUAGUUGCCAAACAAAGCAUAGUCCAGUCCAUUGUUGAUGUGUUCCUUUAAAACAUCCGGUAUUUCUUCCGACACCCCUCAUUCUUCUUCCUGCACCUCAUUACUUUUUGAAAUCCUGAAUUACCCGUUUUAUUUUAUUUCAAAACGCAUUUUCCAUGGUAGCGAGGGUGUUUUCAGAAAUUGGAUUUUGAGAAUGAAUUUCAAAAUUGAAAAUCCAUAAGUAAAAAAACACAUUCCAAAAAUAAGUGCUCCAAGAUGGAAAAUUGUUUCCCAAAUGGAAUUUUCAAAAGAAAAAAAUUUAUAAAUAUAUGAUUUUUUUUUAUAUCAUUCUAAAGUGUUGUACAUGAUUAUCUUAAGGUGCAUGCAUUUGCACUUGCACUUCUCCUCCUACUCAACCUGUUAUAUCCAGAAUAAGCACCAAAAUAAUAAGAUCUCAUAUAUGAGUAAUAAAUUUGUCAAUGUAAUAUAAUCAUAAUGUUUUGAUAAAUCUCUAAUUUAUACUAGAAAAUAUCUUGCGAAAUUUGAGAAAGUAUGAGAACUAAAACUUCAAAAUACCUAAAAUAAGCUUAAAUAAUACUAAAAAAAAUGAUAUUAAAUGGUGGAUUUUUGGAAUUUUGGUAGUGUGAUUGUGGGGAGUUUUAAACUCUUCGUCUCCCUUGUCCUCAACUCACCAUUGUUUAUUCCUAUUAUAUCAUUUGCAACUAACAACGUUUUGUUCAUCCAAUUUACAUUCUCCAAAGUAUUUAUAAGGCUUAUAAUGUCCAACUUCAUCAAGUGCAUAAUGAAAAUUACUAGUAUGCUUACAUUGAGUUAUUUUUUAAGAGAAACUAUGUGUUUUUGGGAUUUGUGUGCUCCUUGGUUAGAACCUCUAAGGGGUCCUAAUGGUUUAGAAUGAAUUUUAUUGAAGAUCUUCAUAUCAGACAUAGAAUCUGAAAGACCAACAUCUAGAUGCAUUCAUAACAUAAUGGAUGAGUCGGAUCAGAACAAACAAAAAAAAAUGCUUUUAGUGUAGAAAUGAAGGGCACAAUAGCAACAAUUGUAUGUAUAAAGAAUAACAUGUUGUCAUUUGUAAACAAUCUUUUGUAUUAUGAUAAAUAACUUUCGAUUUCUUGUAUUCUUUAGCAUACUUACAUGUCAUUGAACUCAUUCAUGUCAUUAUCAAAGUAGUUAAUAUCGUAAUCUCUAAAUAAUUAUAAUUAACGCAUUAUUACGCAUCUAAAAUUUUCAAUUCUUUUUACUUAUACAUAUAAUUAUUGUGCACUAUACUAUGUGAAUUACAAACCCUAAACCCUUAACAUCAACUCUAACCCUAAACAUUACAUAUUUACCGUAUAGCAUAACACUAACUGUGGCCCUAAAACUGAAUCCCUCACAUCUAAACCCCAACCACCACAGUACUAUUAACAUUGCCCGUUAAACCCUUAGAUUUUUUUUGUUAACACUCCUCAUUAAACCCUACCACCUCAGUUUUCAGGUUUUAUUCUUUUUUUCACUUACCAAACUGAAGUCGUACAUGACUGACACAAUUUUAGUGUAAAAAUAAUACAAUUAAAGUCGUGUAAUGCACAACUUCAAUUGUAUUAUUUUUACACUAAAAUUAUGUCAUGUUGACGCAAAUUUACUUAAGCUUUAAUUUAAAAUUAAUCAUAAUCGUCCAAGUCACUCACAACUUAUGUAUUAUAUGGUUUCAACUAAAGUUGUUCAUAAAUAACACGAUUUCUAUAUUAAAUAAAGUUGUGUAUUUCUGACAUAAUUUUUUUUUUAUAAUAAAAUUGUGUUAAUGAGAUAUAUUUUAUCCAAACACGUGAUAUUUUAUUUUGCCUAUAUGUCAAUAAUAAACGAAGUGAAUUACAUUAAUCUCCAAAAAAACGUAAUAGUCAAGUAUAUUUGCUUAGAAUAGUUAUUUGGUUGAACCUUUUACUUACUAAUUUUAGAUACAUUAUCCUUUAUCCAAAAGAAAUGGUACGUGCUUUUAAUUGAAAGAAAAUUCCAAGUGUUGAAUUUUCUUCACUUUUAACUCACAUGUUUCUCUCCGUUGUCAUCUUGUCCAUGUUGUUUUUAACAAAUACAAGUGUCAAUUAAAUAUUUUAAAUGUUGGUGUUGCCCUCCGUAAUUCUCUUUCAUAGCUCCACGACAACAUAUCUUUCGAUCCUUACAAUUAUUCGUUACACAUUUCAAUAGAUGAACCAUGUUUUUUAUAUCUGUAACUGAUUUUUUUUAUAUGUUUUAUUUCCAAGAAAAUUAUAUUCCUGGGUAUAUGUUUUUAUUCCUGUACCAAGAAGGUAUUAGAAUCAAAUUUUUCGAUUUUUGAUAAACCCAAUUGAUCAUUAACACAUUAAUUUUAUUUCGUAUUUAUUUGUACUCAAAUAACUUUAUCAUUCGAAUGAUUUUUGGAAUUUUGGGACUCCGUUUCGUCUGUCUCAUAUGUCUAGACAAGAAUUAGUUGAAAAAUGGAAAUACAAUUUUCUGUGAAAAAAUAUAUUUAUUCUUUUUCUAGCUAUAUUCAUACAUUUUUAUUUAUACUACUGACAUAAAAUUACUGAAAAGUUUGUUUUCGUGAGCGUCUCUAAUUUUUAAGCCUAAUAAGGUCAUAACCGUCCAUGUUCAUUACUUCAUCAAAAACAAUUUUCUAAACCUUCUCUUUGACCUGAUUUUGACUUGCACAUCUGAGAAGUUAAGGUUUUCUUAGGGAUAAAGUCUUGAAAACAAAAAGUUAAACAUAUUUUUUUUUUUUGUAUAAUCAGGGAAAUUGAGGGAGUGAUAGAAAAAAUAGUUAAAAAGAAAAAGAAAAAGAAAAAUGAUUUAGCUAAAAAUGUUUAUUGUUAAUAUUUAAAGAAUUAAGUUAAUUACUCAUGUUAUAAAUAAAUUAAUUUAAACAAUUAUGUAUGAAUAUCCCGUAAGAUUCUUGGUUAUUUUUUCUUCAGAUGUGGGAUUGUCUCCCCCAAGAUUUCUUCUUCCACAGUCAAAUAUUGCUCUUUUGUGGAAUUUGGAAGAAACCAAACUGCAGGCAUUCUCACAGGAGUUUUUUUGUUUUCAGUGAAAAGGCAACUGAAACAUCUUGCAUUGAAUGACCAAAAUUUUGCUUGACCUCUUCUUGCGUGUUUGAAUCUGUCCCACAAUCCUGAAACCACACGAAGCGUGUUUCCUUUAUCUGUUUCCAUUAUCAGCAAAUGGCGGCGGCACAAGAAGGACCCACAAUGAAAGCCUCCUGAGUUUGAAGGCGCCACCAUGCAGAUCACUAUAUUCUCCAACCAUUUGCUUUUUAUCAUUACUUCACUGUCGAAUAACAGAGCUUGAAACAACGUUCGGAAGAAUCAAGAUUCUAUUUCCAUUUCAUUGUCAUUAUAGUUUCCUAGUAAAUCUUAAAUCAAUAAUUUAAUCGCGAUUGAACACAUAAUUGCGCGUAACUUGGAUUUGUAAUCGCAUCUCUGGGUUUUCCACUAGGACACUUAGAACUUGUGGCUCCGUUUUCUCUGACUUUGUGUUAAGUAUGAUUCGAAUGCUGAAAAUGACUGUCAAAUUUAUGUUUUUCUUCUAUUUUAGGGAGUUUAUAUCAUCCGCGGAAUGUAAAUAGGAAUUGUCUUUUGAAAUUAACCUUUUUAUACUUAAAAAAAGGAAAAGUAAAACUUUUGUCAGUGUAUAAAAUGUGUGAGAAAAGUACUCCUCUCAAAUGUUAAAAAGUCUUUGGUUUAAAGUCAAGUCACAUGAUUAUGCAAUCAUUUUGACUAGUGAUUAUUUGCAAUAUAUUACAUAGUUCUAUUAGAGGUAAUUAAUGUUUGUUUAUAUUGAAUAUGGACAUAGCAAAACACACUAAAAUAAAAGCUUAAUAUAUAAUUUUAACUAAAAUACCAAUAUUAUUUUGAAACAGAAUAAUAAAUUACAAAUAAGACAUAUAACAUGAUAACGCAAUAAUCAUUGUUUUAAAUUGUUAAUUCACUCAUUAUUGAAAUAUGGAAACUAAUUAGAAAUUUCUUUAGUAUUUAUAAUAUCAAUUAUCUUUUUUAAAUAUAAUGAAGUGUUGAUUUUAAAUUCAUUACUUCCGCAUAUACGUUUUGAAUGGGAAAAAUUAAAUGGAAUACACAUCGCGCGCGGUGGUGCGGUGAUUGCAGGUUGCGAUUCGUACGGUGGUUGCAGAUUGCAGGUCGACGGUGGUCUUGGUGGUGCCGGGGUGAUGUGGAAUUAGGGUUGUGAUUUACGUUAUUAGAGUUCUAUUUUUUUUUUAUUGGGCUUCGGAAUACUGGGCUUCAAAUUGGAAUUUUUUUUAUUUAAUUGAGGUGCAGUUUUUCUUUUGGGAUGCUUUUUUUUUUUAAUUAGGAAAAAUUGGUGUAAAUUUUAUUUUGUUUUGUCAAAAAUUGAAUUUGGAGCAAUAUAUAUUUUAAAGAAUGUUUGGGAGUAGAUAAAAUUCAACUGAGAUUAAUAUAAGUGCAUCAUCUAUUUUAGUAGAAGUAAUUUUUUUUCAAAAAUUAAAUCAGAUAUUGAAUAAAAGUAUAGAAUAAAUAUUAAUGUACAGGAAAGGACAUAAUUAGAGAAAUGGACAUAUAAAUUUUUAUAAUAUUUUUUAAAAAAUUUAAAAUAAUAAAAUAUAUCAUUAUACUAUUAUAAUAGGUUCUCAAAUGAAAUGUUUCUUUUUCGUUUCAAAGUAUCAUUUUUGGUUUUCAAACUUCCAUAAAACUUCCUCCCUUCCUUCUAUUUGAAACUUCAAAUAAAUAAGUCAAGUUGGAUUAAUGGUAACUGAUGUGACAUUUUUCUGAGGGUUGAGUCUAUCUACGUCAUGAUCAUCAAAAAAAGAAGUAAGAAAAGAGUUUAUCAUUAAUUAAUAAUAAUACUUACAAAAUACAAUUAUUUUUAUAGUUGAUCUUGGACGUUGAAUACGUGUCGCAGAAUAUAAAGUAAAUAAAUAGUAGAUGAUAAGAAUAUAAAACUAAAAGCAAAUAAUUGUUAUUUUAAAAUUUAAAAAUAUAUUAAUAAUAAAUAAGUAUCUAAUUUAAUUAACAUAAUAAUUCUUUUUUAAAAUUAAUUUUUAUUUAAUAAUUUUUUAAAGUAGAUUGUCUUAAACAUAUUUAUUAAUGUAUAUAUAUUAUUUAAAAUAAAAGCUUUUAUAAUUUUUAUCUGGAAUAUAAAGAAAAACACGUGAGUACAUGCAGUAUUAUAUACAACUUUUAAAGGAAAUAGAGCUUGGGAGGCAUCGUAAGCCACCGUCAUCUUCGCCGUGCACUUAUAAUUCCAUUUAUGACGGCCAUACAUAACUAUAAUAAUGCUUUAUACUAAUCUUCAUUCUUCAUUUGGCUAUUAUAUAUAAUAUUAACUACUGUUUCUAUCCCGUCAUCUAAAUAUUUCACUUUAUAUCAUCAUAUUAAUAACAAAAAAGGAUAAUGAUAAAAUUUAAAAUAUUGAUUUUUAAAAUAAUUAAUUUAAAACGUAAGGAUGAUAAAAAAAUGUGUUAAAAAAAAUUACAUAUUAAUAAAAUGAAAAUAAUGUUAAAUAGAAUUUGAUGACAUUCAACUGUUCACUAAUAGAAUUUGAAUUCAUAACUUCUUCCAAUGGUUUUAGACGGCUACUCUUUUGUUAUUCAUAUAUAUAUAUAUAUAUAUAUAUAUAUAUACUAACNNNNNNNNNNNNNNNNNNNNNNNNNNNNNNNNNNNNNNNNNNNNNNNNNNNNNNNNNNNNNNNNNNNNNNNNNNNNNNNNNNNNNNNNNNNNNNNNNNNNAAAAUAGUAUCUAAUUUAGUCAAUAUAGUAACUAAUUAUUUUUUAUCUUUAAAAUUAGUUUAUAUUUAAUAAUUUUUUUUAGUAGUGAUAUAUAUAUCAUAUAUGAUUUGUUAGUUUCUAUUUAAUAAUUUUUUAAUAAUAAUAUAUAUAUUAUAUAUGAUUUAUUGUUUUAAGAGUUUAAAUUAAUUUUACAAUGUGUAGUUAGAAUAAAUAAGCUUUACCAACAAAUACAAGAUUAUUUCAUUCAAAUCUUACUCAUUUAAUUUCACAGGCUUAAAUCUCCAACUACAUAUAAUUUAAACUCAUAUAAUUCAAAUAAUGCUCCGUAUUUUUUUAAUAAUAAAAUAAAUAAGAUAAGAUUGGAAAUACCUUAUUGAGAUAAAAAUAAUUAUAAAAUAAAUUAAAAUAAUAAGGAUAAAGACAUCUUACUGACAAAGAUAAUUAGAUAAUUAUAAAUAUAUAUAUAUAUAUAUAUAUAUGAAAUGAUAAUCAAUUUCUUCUCAUACAUAAAUAUUUGAAGAUUAAGUCUAAUCUCUUGUAACUCGAAUGAUUUUUAGGAUUUGUCCUUAACCCACUUUUCUCUUUAUUUCUUUAUAUUGAGAGACUCGACAUCCCACAUCCUUUUUUAUAGCAAGGUUUAUCAUGAUUUUUCAAUUUAAACUUUGAUUUUGUUAUUUGAUUUCAAACGAAAUGAAAGUUUUGAUGGAUAGUUUGUAAGAUAUAUGUACAUGUGAUGAAAGGAUAAGUUCUCUAGAUAAUUUGUAAAAACAUAAUCAUGUAAUGUGAGAAGAAGAAAGAUAUAAUCAAGCUUAUCCUUAUCCUUUGCAUUAAAUUUUUCAUGCUAAAGGUAAACAUAUUUUUUUUUCUUUGUCCUUAUGUGAUUGAAUGGAUUUUGUGUGAGAAAAAGAUUGAGUCUGAGUUUAUGGUUGACAACCUUGCUAAAUAAUUUGUUGAGAUCAUAUAUGAUCUUAUACCAAUUUAAUUGGUCUAGACCCUUACAUAGUUUCCUUUAGACCUUUAUAUGAUCUAAUGAUAUAUAAACAUAUUUUUAUUCAUCUUAUCAUUUUAACACAGGGUUUAUGACAACUUUAGUUCAUUAGACACACGUUAAGAAAUUAUCCAAUUUAUCAAACGAAGCCUUGAGUAAAUUUGUUAGAAGAAGUCUUGACUUCAUCCGUUAUCAAAAGUUUGUUAAAAAAAGCAUGUCAGAUGUAGUCUUGUUUGCCCUUUAAGGUUCAUGAGAUAAGCAUGUUAGACAAAGUCUUGGGCUCAUUUGUCCACCAAAAUUCGUGAGAGAACCGCAUUAGACAAAGUCUCAAAUUUAUCUAUCCUUUAGAGUUCGUGAGACAAGCUUCAAAUAAAUCCUUGUUUUCAGUUAUCCUUUAAAGUUCCUCGGAACAAGCGUUAGAUGAAACUUUUAUUUCAUUUGUCUUUUAAAAUUCGUUGAGCGGAGUUUUGGUUCGUUUAUCCUUCAAGUUUCAUCAAACAAAUGUCAAACAAAAUUUUGAUUCAUUUGUCCUUUAAGUUUCACAAGAUGAAGCAUGUAAGACAAAAUCUUUAAUUUGUCUACUCUUUAGAGUUCAUCUUACAUGUGUUAUUGGUGUUGCUUAAAAUCAAAACUUAAAAUAUUUAAGUCAUGUUUAUAUUAAUGUGAUUUAAUAUAUAUAUAUAUAUAUAUAUAUAUAUAAUAUUAUUUUAUAAGUUUGGAUGUUACAAUAUGGCUUUCUUACCAUGUAUGUACCAACAUACACUACAAGAAAAAUCCAUUUUAGCUGUCAACAAAAAACGGGGGCUAUAAAAUAGAAGUCACUAGCAUGGGUGAAGUCUACUCAAGUUAGACAAAAAUAAAUAAAUAUCAAAUAUCCACUACAAGAAAAUCAUGAAAUAGAAACCAAUUUUUAGAGACCAAAAUAAUUAGUUACAAUAGGAACUAAAAUAGAGACCAUUUUAGAAACUAAAAAAAAAUUGGUUUCUAAAUUAGUUUCUAUUAUUUUCUAUUAUUGUUAAAUAGUUUCUAAAUUGGUAUCUAAUUAGCAACUAAGGUUUUAACUACCAAUUAUUUAGUUUCUAAAUUUGGUAGCAAAAACCUUGGUUGCUAAUUAGAUACCAAUUUAAAAACUAUUUAACAAUAAUAGAAACUAAUUUAGAAACCAAAUUUCUUUUUAGUUUAUAAAAUGGUCUCUAAUUUAGUUACUAUUGCAACUAAUUAUUUUGGUUUCUACAAAUUGGUUUCUAUUUCAUGAUUUUCUUGUAGUGAUCGUGUCCACAAUGGAAAUCUUUAACACACUAAAAAUUAUUAAAAUAGUAAUAAUAAGUUAGCGUCUAAAAUGGGGACACAAAGUAGAUGCAAUAAAAAAAAUUAAAUGACAGAAUAAUAUUGAGUUUAGAAUGGAGACACAAAGUGUAUGUAAGUUAAAAAUUAUUAAAAUAAUAAUAAUAAGUUAGCGUCUAGAAUUGGGAUACAAAGUAGAUGUAAUAAAAAAAUAAGUUGCAAAAUGAUAGAAUGGAGAUACAAAGUGGAUGCAAGUUAUUAUUUAAUAUUUUAUUACAUUUAAUAUAGGUCUAGGCGACACUGAAGUGGCGUGGAGGUUUAUUCACGCUAAGUUAUUUAAUGAGAAAAAAAAUAUUAAAACAUUUUUGUCUCACAUUUUCAUUUUCCCACACUUUCAAUUUCUGAUUUUUGUCUCACUCUUUCAAACUCAUUAUCCUGAAAUUCCUCCCAAAAAUCCUACGUCUUCUUCGUGGUUAUUUCGCUAUCCUUAAGUGCAUUUUACUCAUUUAUUUCCCAGGUAGUGUCCCCAAUGGCUAGGGAUGGCAAUGCGAGCUAGUCGCCCCACACUUAGCCCGCCCCGCAUAGAAUAUGCGGGUUGAUUUCUCUAGCCCGCCUCGCAUAAGGAUUGGCCCGUAGGCCAACCCGCAUAAGAAUUAUUUUUUUUAAAUUAAUAAAAAUUAUUUUUUAAAUAGAAAUUUUGAAUAAAUUUAAUUUUUUAUUUAUUUAGAUGCAUUAGGUAAAUGGUAUCAAAUAUUAUUCUCACAGGACAUGCGUAAUAAGAUGUUAUUAAAAAAUUUGGAAUGUGAAAUAUGAGACUAUAUUAAGAAAAUAUGGGGGUGUAGAAAAAAAUUUCUACAUUUUUAAGUUAUGCAGGUCAUGUGGGCCAGCUCGUUCUGCCCUCACUUAGCCCGUGCGAGUUGUGGGUCAUGUGUGGCAGGCCUGAGCAGAUCAGUGGGUUGGAAUAGGCAACCCGACCCAUGUUUUCUCUAAGCGGGUUGUGGGUCGGCCCGCAUAGCCCGUCCCACUUUGUCAUCCCUACCAAUGACGACAAUUUACUCACAUUUGCUUUCCCACGUAGUGUCCCCAAUGGCGACGCUAACUUUAAUUAUUAUUGGAGAUCUCACAUCGACUAGAGAUUAUGACAUUUCAUAGUAUAUAAGUGGGUGUAAACCUCACCUUAUGAGCUAGUUUUAUGAGGUUGAGUUAGGCUUAAAGUCCACUUCUUAAAAUGAUAUCAUAGUCAUUUCGAGUCUAUCCUAAAGAUUGUUUUUUGGGCUUAUCAGGUCACCCGCUAUCGGUCGAUUAUCGGACCACCCAUAAUAUAUAGUCUCACGCACGAGUUGGUAGGCUCGACGUGAGGGGGUGUAUUGGAGAUCUCACAUCGACUAGAGAUUAAGACAUUUCAGAGGGAAUAAGUGAAUGAAAACCUCACCUUAUAAGUCAAUUUUAUGAGGUUUAGUUAGGCUUAAAGUCCAUUUUCUAAUAAUUAUUUAAUUUUAUAUCCAUUUUAGUGUCCUUCAAACCUACGUUAUAGUUAAAUAAUAUAUUUUUCUUUAUGUAGGCUUAGUCAACACUAUCUUGUAAAUUUGUUUCUUAUUGGAGGCCUUCUCUAAUGCAUAGCCACCGUAAGAUUAACUUUCAUUUCUAUUGGGACGUUAAGUCCACACUAGUUCCAUGUAUAGUCUCUCUUUUACUCUUUUCGUCGAUCUUUUGGAUACUCAACCAUCAUUAUUUCUUGUAGUGGUAUUUAAGUUAUCAUCCUUUUUAAUGAAUCUAAAACUACACCUAAACAAUUUACUUUUUUCGAAUUAAAUUAUGAUUGCUAUUCCAUCACAGUAGAUAUAAAAAAAAUUAAUCUCUAAAAUAUUAUUUAAUUUAGUUAAUAUAAUAAUUAAUUUUUUCUCUAAAAUUAGUUUAUUUAAUAAUUUUUUAGUAGUGUAUAUUGUGUGUUGUGGUUAAUUAUUAAUUGUUAAAAUUGUGUUCAAAUUUCCAUGUCCUAAAAUGAAGGAGACACUAUCUAUUUUUAAAAACAAAUUAAAAAUCUUCAAUAUUUUAGAAAAUAAAUAUUUUAGUUCAUAUGAGUAAAUCUUUUAAACUGUUUAAAAAUAAAUAAUACUUAAGUUUAGACUAAAUUAUAGAAACUAAAUUUUGAGGAAUAAUGUUGCAUAUAAUUAACAUACUAAAUCUCAAUACAAAGUAACUCUUAAGUUAUCUUAAUCUCUAACACUAAAUUAUUUUUGUCCCAUCACUUAAUUAUAAGAUAAUUAAUUAAGUGAUAUUAAUAAUUUAGGGAAUAUAAUUAAGUGAUAUUAAUAAUUUAGUGAUGUUGAAAUUUUAAACCCUAAACCUUAAAAUAAAUAAGAUAAGAUAAUAAUUGAUUUUUUUUCAUUACUUCAAUUUAUUCAACUUAAUUAGAUUUUAAAGUAAAUUUUAAAAACUGAGAAAAAGAAAAUUACUGAUUUUAUAAUAUUAAAGGUCCUUAGAACUAGUUAUCUCAAUCCAUCCUAUCAUCAUUAUGAAGAUGAUUCUUUAACUUAGUGUUUGAACAUAUUGUCAUUAUUGAGGCGAAAAGUUUUGUAAAUAUAGUAGGACAAUAAAAAAAAAUUCUUUUUUUUCUCUAAAUUUAAUUAAUAUUUAAUAACAUAGUAAUUAAUUAUUAUUUUUUCUCUAGACUUAGUUGUUAUUUAUGUAUAUAUAAUCGCGAGGUUGCGUUAGGUUGAGUUAAUAUUGUUGGUAACAUAAUAUCAAAGAGGCACGUAUGAACAGAGUGUGAAGAAAAAAUGAUAAUCAGAAGAAGGAAAUUGCAUGCUAAUUUAAUUUUCUUGUAGUGACAGGUCAAGCAAGAAGUUUAGAUUUAGAUUAGAAGAGUGUGUUAUGGCUUGCACGGGCUGAUUCAGGAGUGUGGAUCACUCACUUUUCUAAUGCUAACAGACAGAUUCAUAUGUUUUACGGUUUAAGUCAAAUUUUGCAUACAUAUUUUUAUAAAUUAGAAUGCCUGGUUUUUUCUGCGGGAGACUAUUAUUUUAUCUGCUCUUUUUCGAACUUUGGGCAGGUAGGUACACCACUCUAUAAUCGGUAGGUACACCACUCUAUAAAGCUUCAAUUCAAUUCUCCCCUCCAACUCACACUUCAAUAUGGGAGCGCAAACACACAUAACCCAUAAACCUUACGCCGGCUACGCUGCCUUCAUAGCCGUCUGUGUUAACUUACUUGCCGUGAAGCCCUACCCCAUCACUGACCUUCAGAUCGUCUUCUUUCUCACAUCCAUGUUCUUCCACGCUCUUGCUCUUUCCCUACCUCAACCCUCAAUCACAGCUAUAAUUACUCUCCACGCUUCUGGUAUUCUUGCUUCUGAAACCCUCAUCUGCGUUAUCCUACCUCCUAGCUCCUGGCUUUCCUCCUAUUAUAUCAUAAAUGCCUUUUUCUUCCUCUUUGCAUGCUUCUUCUUCAAGGAUCAUAUCAUUCGUUUUCUCCGAAAAGAUCAACAAGACACAAAUCACAUCAAAGACUUGGAAGCCCAGGACCAAGAACUUGAAGAAAUACAGUGAGAAUGUGAAACUCUUUCUAUACCAACAAGACACCACUCCACAGCCUCAUCACACCACAGACUUGGAAGCCCAAGACCAAGAACUUGAAGAAAUACAGUGAGAAUGUGAAACUGUUUGCAUACCAGUUUUCUUAUGUCAUUAAGUUGUUGUUCACUAGCUCAUCUCAACCGACUGCAAAAUUAAUCAUUAAUAUAUAUACCCUCUUCCUUGUAAAAUUUGCUUUGUUUUAUUUAGCAUACAAUUCUUUUUUAUAUUAUGUCAUGCAGUUCUUGGUUUCGUUAUUGUGUACUAUUCUCGCUUUCAAUCCACUAUAUAGUUAGGUUUUACUUUUAACACACUAUUAAGGGAUUUUGUGUAACCCAAUCAUAUUCUAUGUUUUUUCUUUUUCCUCCAAUUAAGAAAAAAGAAGAAGAGAGAGAGAUCUGAGCCGAUAACUAAUUUAAUUUAAACAUUUGAUUGAUAAAUUUAGCGGCGAGGAUCAGUUAUCACUUACAGCCGAAAGGUGGUCCCCACUCACCUGAAUCUCUGAAGUAACGAAUUUACAUGUUUCAUGCGAUUUCCCAAAAAAAAUUAUUAGAACAAGUCAACAACUCUCUCUGGCUAGGAUCCAAUAUGGAUCUUCCUCUUUCUUCUUCCCUUAGUUAAUCGCAGUCGCUAUCAAAUUUCCGAUGAGAUCCCCGGUGAACUCUUUGACCAGAGGUGGUUUUCUUGGUAAUAGCACUGUGAACACUUAUUAUAGAGUUUUUUUUCUUUUUUUUUCAAAUGAAUCAAUGUAAAGUAGUGUUAGGGUUCGUUGUUGGUUACAUAGGUUGUUUUGGUUAGUUAUGUUUUUCAAUUCAAUCGAUACUGUGAACACUGUUCCUCUCUUUUGUUCUUACCUUCUAUCAAAUUGUUGUUUCAUGGAAGAUGUGAUUAGGGAAACUUGAUCUGUGAAACUCUCGAGCAAGAAUUCGUGAACGAUAUCUUCAAUAGGUGGAUCCGGUUCAUACAGAUCUGGUGUAUGUGUCUUCUCCUACAACACUACCAUCUGAGUCGUUCACAGAUCUAAUGGCUGAUGUGACGUAUGCACAAUUAGCUCAGUGCGUAUGCUGCCUAGUCUUUUUAGAGCCUUUGGAACAAAGCCUUUGCUGGGUGCUGUUGGAAGAACUAGCAGGUUGGUGCUGGUGUUGGAAGAUUGGGGAUUAAAGAUGAAAUCCACACACCUAAGGAUCAACACCCAAGACUUUUUAGGUGAAGUAGGGAAGAAAUUGAUGGACUUGGAGCUAGAAGGAUUGGAGUAAUUGGUGAGUCAAUCCUCGGGUGUAAGCCCCACUGUCCAAUUUCUGAGAAUCAAGCAGUUUCUAUUUUCAAUUCAGAUCCUGAUAUCCACAAUUCUGCAUAGUCUCAGACGUUUAGAGUCGAACAAUAUCUUGUAUACGGUUAAUUCUUCACUAAUUGAAAAAAUAGAUCUAACGAAAUUGUUGUGUUGCCAACGAAACAAGGUGAAAUAGAUCUGCGAAGUGUAUGGAACACGAUCCGUUUGGAAAGCAGAACUACUUCCUCUAUAGAACAUAAGCAGUGGAGAAGGAAAUAAGUAAAAUCUCAUAAAUGAACAAAUCUUUUAUUUCUUUUUACAAA